rnacentral:rRNA from 1 species
UACGUAGGGUGCGAGCGUUAAUCGGAAUUACUGGGCGUAAAGCGUGCGCAGGCGGUUUUGUAAGCCAGAUGUGAAAUCCCCGGGCUCAACCUGGGAAUGGCAUUUGGGACUGCAAGGCUGGAGUGCGGCAGAGGAGACUGGAAUUCCUGGUGUAGCAGUGAAAUGCGUAGAGAUGUGGAGGAACACCGAUGGCGAAGGCAGCCCCCUGGGCCAAUACUGACGCUCAUGCACGAAAGCGUGGGGAGCAAACAGG